UUCCGGUUGAUCCUGCCGGACCCGACUGCUAUUUGGGUGAGAAUAAGCCAUGCGAGUUGAAUGGGAUACCUAAAGUUCCCAUAGCAAACUGCUCAGUAACACAUGAUCAACUUACCCUAUAGAGAAAAAUAACCUCGGGAAACUGAAGAUAAUGUUUCAUAAUUGAAUUGGCUUGGAAAAGUUUUUCAAUGAAAAGGAUAAAAAAAAUGGUUUUUAUCUGCUAUAGGAUAGGAUCGUGUUCGAUUAUGGUUGUUGGUGAGAUAAUGGCUCACCAAGCCGAUAAUCGAUAGGGGCCGUGAGAGCGGGAGCCCCGAGAUGGGUACUGAGACAACGACCCAGGCCUUACGAGGCGCAGCAGGCGCGGAACCUCCGCAAUACACGAAAGUGUGACGGGGUUACCCAAAGUGUUCAAUAGAACUGUGGUAGGUGAGUAAUGUUCCCUACUAGAAAGGAGAGGGCAAGGCUGGUGCCAGCCGCCGCGGUAAAACCAGCUCUUCAAGUGGUCGGGAUAAUUAUUGGGCUUAAAGUGUCCGUAGCCGGUUUAGUAAGUUCCUGGUAAAAUCGGGUAGCUUAACUAUCUGCAUGCUAGGAAUACUGCUAUACUAGAGGGCGGGAGAGGUCUGAGGUACUACAGGGGUAGGGGUGAAAUCUUAUAAUCCUUGUAGGACCACCAGUGGCGAAGGCGUCAGACUGGAACGCGCCUGACGGUGAGGGACGAAAGCCAGGGGAGCGAACCGGAUUAGAUACCCGGGUAGUCCUGGCCGUAAACGAUGCAUACUAGGUGAUGGUACGGCCAUGAGCCGUAUCAGUGCCGUAGGGAAACCGUUAAGUGUGCCGCCUGGGAAGUACGGUCGCAAGGCUAAAACUUAAAGGAAUUGGCGGGGGAGCACCACAAGGGGUGAAGCCUGCGGUUCAAUUGGAUUCAACGCCGGAAAUCACUAGUGCGGCCG
rnacentral:rRNA from 1 species